GGCAUCGCUCACCCUCUGCCCUCGAUCAGCUCCAACAUGAGCCCAAAGAAUGUGGUUUUCAAGAAGAUUUGCAGUGACAAGUCGGUCGGAGUCUACAUGGGGAGAAGAGACUUUGUGGACCAUGUGGAUUCUGUGGAUCCAGUGGAUGGCGUCAUCCUCAUCGAUCCUCAGGCUCUGCAGGGGAGGAAAGG